rnacentral:rRNA from 1 species
AUACGGAGGAUCCGAGCGUUAUCCGGAUUUAUUGGGUUUAAAGGGAGUGUAGGCGGACGCUUAAGUCAGUUGUGAAAGUUUGCGGCUCAACCGUAAAAUUGCAGUUGAUACUGGGUGUCUUGAGUACAGUAGAGGCAGGCGGAAUUCGUGGUGUAGCGGUGAAAUGCUUAGAUAUCACGAAGAACUCCGAUUGCGAAGGCAGCCUGCUGGACUGUAACUGACGCUGAUGCUCGAAAGUGUGGGUAUCAAACAGGAUUAGAUACCCUGGUAGUCCACACAGUAAACGAUGAAUACUCGCUGUUUGCGAUAUACAGUAAGCGGCCAAGCGAAAGCGUUAAGUAUUCCACCUGGGGAGUACGCCGGCAACGGUGAAACUCAAAUGAAUUGACGGGG